AUGGGUGAGAGAGUUUGUGCCGGCGAUCUCAUCAGAGUUUACAAGGGCGAAAGGCGAAGCGAGGUACGGCUGCUACCGCGUCGUGGGCAAAUAAGGCUGAGGAUAGCGCAUGAUACACUCCGUCGCUUCGGCGCUCCUCCUGACUACGUCGCAGCUUCCUGUUCUGGAUCACAAGUGAAUGUCAGUGACUCUGUACAUGUUAGGAUUUGUUGUGAACCGUUCCCCCCGUUGCACAUCAUGGUGUGGGCUUCAUGA
rnacentral:rRNA from 1 species